CUUUUCUCAAACAGAUGUCCCAUUUAGUUGGAAAUUAGAAUGUGUAAAAACCCAGGAGACUCAAAUUAUUUCCAAGUUCUCCGGGAGGAGGGAGACGGAGAAGAAAAGAGGAGCACGGAAAAGAAAGGAGUGGCGAGGCAAGGAGAGAAAAAGAGGAAAAGGGAGGGAGAGGGAUACAUAUCCUCCUCCUCAGGAAGUGUGAAAGUGUGUUGAUUAGCCAUCGCUGUGGGGCAGCUAAUUCUGACGCCCGACCACACGCCACAGCCAGCACUGAAAAGACACUAGAGAGGAAGGACAAGAUGAAUGCAGGAUGGGUACGAACCAUUGUAUGGUAAACAGAUUCAGCGUUUAUGAGAAUGUAAAGAAAUUUCCCAGAGCUGCACACACUCACAUAUGUGACUCGAGAGAGGAGUUUCACCUUGGAGACCAAUUUACAGCAGAAUGACUGACACAUGGAAAUCGGACUGAAAAAAGUGGAGUGCUGGAGUAUUUGGUCCACACCUUGAAGGCCCUUGAUUCAGGUCAACAUUCCUCAAUGGAGCAAAGCAUUAGGCUACAAGACAACCCUUGGAAUAAUGCUCAAAGUUUAGCUUUUUUUUUUUUACUUUUUGCUUUUUUCCCCCGCGAAAAAAAAAAAAAAAUUGUUUGUUGCUGAUGUUUUAAAUCAUGGCCAAUGAUUAUGCAUAAUUUGCUGUUAUCAGGGUCAAAUAUCAAAAAAGUGCAGUGCUAAAAAACUGCCAUAGAUAUUUAAAAUGUGGAUCAAAAAAUGAAAUUUUUUUUAUAUGUGAUGCUGUACAUAUACAUAUCAAUAUAUGGCUAUAACAAUAUAUAAAGUUAUAAUAUAUUAUAAUAUUUUAUUCUAGGCCUAUCUAGUUUCAGGAUUAAACACUACAGUGAAUAUAUAAAUAUUUUAGUUCAUAUAAAUUACUUAAUAAAUAAAGACUAAUGGACAACAAACUGUUUUAUAUUGUAGAAAAAAAUGUCCUCAUAAAGGUUUUAAGUUAUUAAAAAAUAACUUUUUGGUACAACAAACUAAAUGUUCUGUCUAACAAUAAUAUGGUCCAUUUUUUUAAUAAGUAAAAAAAAAAACAUAUAUAAAGGUAAUAAAUGGAGGUUUAAAGAACUUUAGAGGGUAAAAAACUUUUCUGACACCGAACAUUGCUAUUAUAUUGGUGGUGAAAAAAAAAAAAUUAAAAUAAUAAAUAAAUAUAAUAAAUAAAUAAAUACAACCAGGACUAUAGUGGGCUUUCUAAUUAAUUAAUUCUAAUUAAUCAAUUAAAUUACAUGACUGGACAACAAAUUGGGAUUAAAAAAUAAUAGUAAGGUAAUAUGUGGAAGUUUAAAAGAAAUCACAUUUCUGACACUGACAAGUACAAUUACAUUUGCAUUUGUGUCAUGAAAAUAAAAGCUUUUUUUCUGUUUGAAACUGAAAUAAA